rnacentral:rRNA from 1 species
AGAGUUUGAUCAUGGCUCAGGACGAACGCUGGCGGCGUGCUUAACACAUGCAAGUCGAGCGGUAAGGCCCUUCGGGGUACACGAGCGGCGAACGGGUGAGUAACACGUGAGCAACCUGCCCCCGACUCCGGGAUAAGCGGUGGAAACGCCGUCUAAUACCGGAUACGACCGGCCACCUCAUGGCGGACGGUGGAAAGUUUUUCGGUUGGGGAUGGGCUCGCGGCCUAUCAGCUUGUUGGUGGGGUAACGGCCUACCAAGGCGAUUACGGGUAGCCGGCCUGAGAGGGCGACCGGCCACACUGGGACUGAGACACGGCCCAGACUCCUGCGGGAGGCAGCAGUGGGGAAUAUUGCGCAAUGGGCGAAAGCCUGACGCAGCGACGCCGCGUGGGGGAUGACGGCCUUCGGGUUGUAAACCUCUUUUACCUCUAACGCAGGCCCCGAGUUCUCUGCAGGUUGACGGUAGGUGGGGAAUAAGGACCGGCUAACUACGUGCCAGCAGCCGCGGUAAUACGUAGGGUCCGAGCGUUGUCCGGAAUUAUUGGGCGUAAAGAGCUCGUAGGCGGCGUGUCGCGUCUGCUGUGAAAGACCGGGGCUUAACCCCGGUUCUGCAGUGGAUACGGGCAUGCUAGAGGUAGGUAGGGGAGACUGGAAUUCCUGGUGUAGCGGGGAAAUGCGCAGGUAUCAGGAGGAACACCGGUGGCGAAGGCGGGUCUCUGGGCCCCACCUGACGCUGAGGAGCGAAAGCAUGGGGAGCGAACAGGAUUAUAUACCCUGGUAGUCCAUGCCGUAAACGUUGGGCGCUAGGUGUGGGGACUUUCCACGGUUUCCGCGCCGUAGCUAACGCAUUAAGCGCCCCGCCUGGGGAGUACGGCCGCAAGGCUAAAACUCAAAGGAAUUGACGGGGGCCCGCACAAGCG